GACAUAGGUGGCGAACGUUAUCCGGAAUUAUUGGGCGUAAAGGGUGCGUAGACGGUCUAGUAAGUUGGCGGCGGGAAAUCGAGGCCCAACCUCGUGGAAGUUGUUAAUACUGCUAUACUCGAGUGCAGGAGAGGUUAACGGAACUCAAUGUGGAGCGGUAAAAUGUGUAGAUAUAUUGAAGAACACCAAUAACGGCGAAGGCAGUUAACUAUUCUGUUACUGACGUUGAGGCACGAAAGCGUGGGGAGCAAAAAGG
rnacentral:rRNA from 1 species